rnacentral:rRNA from 1 species
AAAUUGAAGAGUUUGAUCAUGGCUCAGAUUGAACGCUGGCGGCAGGCCUAACACAUGCAAGUCGAACGGUAACAGGAAAAAGCUUGCUUUUUUGCUGACGAGUGGCGGACGGGUGAGUAAUGUCUGGGAAACUGCCUGAUGGAGGGGGAUAACUACUGGAAACGGUAGCUAAUACCGCAUAACGUCGCAAGACCAAAGAGGGGGACCUUCGGGCCUCUUGCCAUCGGAUGUGCCCAGAUGGGAUUAGCUAGUAGGUGGGGUAACGGCUCACCUAGGCGACGAUCCCUAGCUGGUCUGAGAGGAUGACCAGCCACACUGGAACUGAGACACGGUCCAGACUCCUACGGGAGGCAGCAGUGGGGAAUAUUGCACAAUGGGCGCAAGCCUGAUGCAGCCAUGCCGCGUGUAUGAAGAAGGCCUUCGGGUUGUAAAGUACUUUCAGCGGGGAGGAAGGGAGUAAAGUUAAUACCUUUGCUCAUUGACGUUACCCGCAGAAGAAGCACCGGCUAACUCCGUGCCAGCAGCCGCGGUAAUACGGAGGGUGCAAGCGUUAAUCGGAAUUACUGGGCGUAAAGCGCACGCAGGCGGUUUGUUAAGUCAGAUGUGAAAUCCCCGGGCUCAACCUGGGAACUGCAUCUGAUACUGGCAAGCUUGAGUCUCGUAGAGGGGGGUGGAAUUCCAGGUGUAGCGGUGAAAUGCGUAGAGAUCUGGAGGAAUACCGGUGGCGAAGGCGGCCCCCUGGACGAAGACUGACGCUCAGGUGCGAAAGCGUGGGGAGCAAACAGGAUUAGAUACCCUGGUAGUCCACGCCGUAAACGAUGUCGACUUGGAGGUUGUGCCCUUGAGGCGUGGCUUCCGGAGCUAACGCGUUAAGUCGACCGCCUGGGGAGUACGGCCGCAAGGUUAAAACUCAAAUGAAUUGACGGGGGCCCGCACAAGCGGUGGAGCAUGUGGUUUAAUUCGAUGCAACGCGAAGAACCUUACCUGGUCUUGACAUCCACGGAAGUUUUCAGAGAUGAGAAUGUGCCUUCGGGAACCGUGAGACAGGUGCUGCAUGGCUGUCGUCAGCUCGUGUUGUGAAAUGUUGGGUUAAGUCCCGCAACGAGCGCAACCCUUAUCCUUUGUUGCCAGCGGUCCGGCCGGGAACUCAAAGGAGACUGCCAGUGAUAAACUGGAGGAAGGUGGGGAUGACGUCAAGUCAUCAUGGCCCUUACGACCAGGGCUACACACGUGCUACAAUGGCGCAUACAAAGAGAAGCGACCUCGCGAGAGCAAGCGGACCUCAUAAAGUGCGUCGUAGUCCGGAUUGGAGUCUGCAACUCGACUCCAUGAAGUCGGAAUCGCUAGUAAUCGUGGAUCAGAAUGCCACGGUGAAUACGUUCCCGGGCCUUGUACACACCGCCCGUCACACCAUGGGAGUGGGUUGCAAAAGAAGUAGGUAGCUUAACCUUCGGGAGGGCGCUUACCACUUUGUGAUUCAUGACUGGGGUGAAGUCGUAACAAGGUAACCGUAGGGGAACCUGCGGUUGGAUCACCUCCUUACCUUAAAGAA